rnacentral:lncRNA from 1 species
AGGUAUUGGGUUUGAAACCCUAGAAGUGGUAGAUAAGAUCUAUCACUAAUUGCUGUUCUUGUUCAAAUGCUUUUAAUAUUAGAUUCAAAUUUUUAUGCAUAUAAAUUUAUGUUAUAAAUUUAUUUGUAGAAGUUUUAAGAUCAGAUCUUAUACAUAUAUUUAUAGAUUAAAUAAUUUAAUCUAAUGUUCUUCCACUGAAAAUUUUGAAAUGCAUACAUGAAACUCUAGCAUGAUCCUUCAAUGGUAUC